rnacentral:rRNA from 1 species
UAUUAAAGGUUUUAUUUUGAAUAGAUUUUUAAAAAAAGUUAUUAGUUUUAGUAAUAAAAUUUGAAAAGAUUUUUAAAAUUAUAGAAUAAUAGUACAGUAAAGGAAUAUUUUAUAUUUUAUAAAGAAUAUUUUAUUUAUUGUACCUUUUGUAUCAGGGUUUAUUAAAAAGGUAUUUUGGUUUUAAAUUUUCUCGAAUUUAUAGGAGCUAAAUAUAUAUAUAUAUUAAUGUUGAAUAAUUAUUUAUAAUAUAUCUUUUGGUAUUAGACGUUAGUCGGUUUUAAAUAUAUCUAGUUUUUUAAGAAAUUAAUUUAAUUAAGCUGAUUUCUAAAAUAGUUUUAAAUAAAAAAUUAAUUUGUGAAUCAAGAAAUAUUUAAGGGGAUAAGCUUUUAAAUAGAUAUUUAAAAAUGUGGAUUUAUAGAAAGUUGAAUAGGAAUAGAAGUUUUCAUUUUUUGUAGUGUUUUAUAUCAAGAUUUUUGGUAAAGUAAUUUUUAAUUUUUUAAAUUUUUUAUUAAAAUAUUAGAUGGAUUAAUAAUUUUUAGGGAAUAAUGAUAAAAUUAGUAUAAUUUACUGUAAUCGAUGGUUGAGGAUGAAAGGUUUAAUUAAGUAACUUGGCAAAUUUAUUUUCUGCCUGUUUAUUAAAAACAUGGCCUUUUGAUAAUAAUUUAAGGUCCGGCCUGCCCAAUGAUAAAUUAAAUGGCCGCGGUACUCUGACCGUGCAAAGGUAGCAUAAUCAUUAGUUUUUUAAUUAAAAGCUGGAAUGAACGGUCAAACAAGAAAAUUACUGUCUCAAUUUAAUUGUUUUAGAAUUUUAUUUUUAAGUGAGAAAGCUUAAAUAUUUUUAGGGGACGAGAAGACCCUAUAGAAUUUUAUAUAUUUUUGUGGAUUGUGUUUUUAGUAAAAUUAUUAUGAUUUAUAAGGGUUUAUUUUGUUGGGGUGAUAGAAAAAUUUAGUUAACUUUUUUUAAUUUUUUGUACUUAUAUGUAUUUAAGUGAUCCAUUUUUUAUGAUUAUAAGAUUAAAUUACCUUAGGGAUAACAGCGUUAUUAGUUUGGAGAGUUCUUAUUGAUAAACUAGUUUGCGACCUCGAUGUUGGAUUAAAAUAAACUUUUGGUGAAGAGGCUGAAAAAGUUAAGUCUGUUCGACUUUUAAAAUUUUACAUGAUCUGAGUUUAAACCGGCGUGAGCCAGGUUGGUUUCUAUCUUUAGAAAGGUUAAAUAUUUUAGUACGAAAGGACCAGAUAUUUGUUUAAUAAAUUAUUUUAGGAUAUUAAU